AUUGAACGCUGGCGGCAGGCCUAACACAUGCAAGUCGAACGAGUGGCGGACGGGUGAGUAAUAUCUGGGAAACUGCCUGAUGGAGGGGGAUAACUAAUGGAAACGGUAGCUAAUACCGCAUACCAUCGGAUGUGCCCAGAUGGGAUUGGCUAGUAGGUGGGGUAACGGCUCACCUAGGCGACGAUCCCUAGCUGGUCUGAUAGGAUGACCAUCCCCACUGGAACUGGACCACGGUCCAGCCUCCUACGGUGGGCAGCAGUGGGGAAUAUUGCACAAUGGGCGCAAGCCUGAUGCAGCCAUGCCGCGUGUAUGAAGAGGUCCUUCUGGUUUUAAGGUACUUUCAGCGGGGAUGCGUUACCCGCAGAAGAAGCCCCGGCUAACUCCGUGCCAGCCGCCGCGGUAAUUC
rnacentral:rRNA from 1 species